GAUGAACGCUAGCGGCAGGCUUAACACAUGCAAGUCGAGGGGUAACAGGGAAGAGCUUGCUUUUCCGCUGACGACCGGCGCACGGGUGCGUAACGCGUAUAGAACCUACCUUUUACAGGGGAAUAGCCCAGAGAAAUUUGGAUUAAUGCCCCAUAGUAUUAUUGAAUGGCAUCAUUUAAUAAUUAAACAUUUAUGGGUAAAAGAUGGCUAUGCGUUCUAUUAGCUAGAUGGUAAGGUAACGGCUUACCAUGGCAACGAUAGAUAGGGGUCCUGAGAGGGAGAUCCCCCACACUGGUACUGAGACACGGACCAGACUCCUACGGGAGGCAGCAGUGAGGAAUAUUGGACAAUGGAGGCAACUCUGAUCCAGCCAUGCCGCGUGCAGGAAGACGGUCCUAUGGAUUGUAAACUGCUUUUAUAUAGGAAGAAACCUUUCCACGUGUGGAAAGCUGACGGUACUAUAAGAAUAAGCACCGGCUAACUCCGUGCCAGCAGCCGCGGUAAUACGGAGGGUGCAAGCGUUAUCCGGAAUCAUUGGGUUUAAAGGGUCCGUAGGCGGACUAAUAAGUCAGGGGUGAAAUCCAACAGCUUAACUGUUGAACUGCCUUUGAUACUGUUAGUCUUGAGUUAUAUGGAAGUAGAUAGAAUAUGUAGUGUAGCGGUGAAAUGCUUAGAGAUUACAUAGAAUACCGAUUGCGAAGGCAGUCUACUACGUAUAUAC
rnacentral:rRNA from 1 species